rnacentral:rRNA from 1 species
GAUGAACGCUGGCGGCAUGCUUUACACAUGCAAGUCGGACGGGAAGUGGUGUUUCCUGUGGCGGGCGGGUGAGUAACGCGCAAGAACCUGCCCCUUGGAGGGGAACAACAGCUGGAAACGGCUACUAAUACCCCGCAGGACGAGGAGCGAAAGGAGGACUCCGCCCCAGGAGGGGCUCGCGUCUGAUUAGCUAGUUGGUGCGGUAAUAGCUUACCAAGGCCGUGAUCAUUAGAUGGUCCGAGAGGAUGAUCGGUCACACUGGGACUGGGACAAGGCCGAGACACCUACGGGAAGCAGCAGAGAGCAAUUAUCCGCAACGGCGGACAGCCUAACAGAGCAAUGCAGCGUGGAGGUAAGAGUCCUACGGGUCAUGAACUGCUUUUCCUGGAGAAGAAACAGUGACGGUAUCUGGGUAGAAAGCAUCGGCUAACUCUGUG